rnacentral:lncRNA from 1 species
UUCCCAAGAUGGUGUACCCUCACAUAAAUCGGGCAAAUACCAGAAGUUCUGCACUGACAACAUGGUUGAUUUUUGGCCCAAGGAUAUGUGGCCAUCAUCUUCGCCGGAUUUGAACCCGUUAGACUUAGCUGUGUAGGAGACUUUAGAGAAGGAGACUAACCGAACAUCUCAUCCUAAUAUGGACUCCCCGAAGGCCGCCAUUGUGAAGGAGUGGAACAACUUGUCCGAGAAGUUCAUCAUCAACUCUUGCAAGGAUUUCCGCCGCUGUUUGGAGGCUGUGAUUGCUGCUGAGUGUGGUCAUAUUCAGUGAACAUGUUCACAAAGGUAUGUUGCUCACUGUGAGCAGACAAUUGGCCAAAAACAUUUGUUGCCGAAGGACAAUUCCCGAACGUGCAAUUCGCCGAAGAACAAUUUGCCGAAUGAUUAUUUGGGACAUUUGGCUGAAACAUGAUAUUUAAUAAAUACUAUAUUUAUUUAUGGGAUUGCAUAUUUUAAUUUAAUUAAAAGAAAUGUAUGAUAAAUUGCCCGAUUGUUAUUGUUCAUAUGCUAUAUAUGUCAUAUAAGUAAAUUAUCUAGUGUUCCUUUUCAAAAAUUGUUUUUUUAUUAAUUAGAUAUAUUCAUUAUUGAUCACUAUAUACCUGAACACACCACAGUAGCAUGUAGUUCAAAUCUUUUACCGUUCUAGUACUUUAUAUAAAUUAAAUAAUAAACAAACACGACUGUGAUUCAAUCGAAUGAAUGAACUGCUAAUAAGUAAUAUCCGUUAUCAAUUAUCGUUUGACAUGAUGGAUUAUUUAUAUUUGAAAAGACUCAUGAUGGAUGGACGAACAAGUAUAAAAUCAGAUCAGGGAAGAGUAAUGAUUUCAGAUUCUUACUUUGUUAUGAUCCAGGAUAUUUCGAAAGAAGAUGGCUGUGGUGAAACAAACCAUUGAGAAAAUUUUGGGAGGCACUCAAAGGUUGAGUCGUAGGAGAAAACGAGGAAAUAAGAGACAUUCCAGAUUGCUACAACUGUACUGAGCUUUACAGUUUUCCUCACUUACGUUUCUCAUUUUCUUUUGCUCUCCGACGACCCGACCUUUGACUGCCUUGCCAAAUUUUCUCAGUGGUUUGCUUCACCACACCCAACAAUAAUCAAUGAAGAAUAUUUUCGGGAAAAGAACACUAAUUAAUUUACUAAUAUGACAUAUAUAGCAUAUGAACAAUAACAAU